GCUUUUACCUGGCAAGGGAGACACCUUGAUCACGAAGGAGGUUUUCCCAGGGUGAGGCUCAUCCAUUGCGGGUGUGCUGACCCCUGCAAUUUCCCCAAAUGCGGGAAACUCAACUGCAUAGUUUGUGUAGCUUUUACCAGAAUUUAACUGCUAAGAC